rnacentral:rRNA from 1 species
UACAGAGGUCUCAAGCGUUGUUCGGAUUUAUUGGGCGUAAAGGGUGCGUAGGCGGCGCGGUAAGUCGGGUGUGAAAUCUCGGGGCUUAACUCCGAAACUGCAUUCGAUACUGCCGUGCUUGAGGACUGGAGAGGAGACUGGAAUUUACGGUGUAGCGGUGAAAUGCGUAGAUGUCGUAAGGAAGACCAGUGGCGAAGGCGGGUCUCUGGACAGUUCCUGACGCUGAGGCACGAAGGCCAGGGGAGCAAACGGG